rnacentral:rRNA from 1 species
CUGGCUCAGGACGAACGCUGGCGGCGUGCCUAAUACAUGCAAGUCGAGCGGAAUGAUGAAGAAGCUUGCUUCUUCUGAUUUUAGCGGCGGACGGGUGAGUAACACGUGGGCAACCUACCUUGUAGAUUGGGAUAACUCCGGGAAACCGGGGCUAAUACCGAAUAAUCCAUUUUGCUUCAUGGCAAGAUGUUGAAAGGCGGCUUCGGCUGUCACUACGAGAUGGGCCCGCGGCGUAUUAGCUAGUUGGUAGGGUAAUGGCCUACCAAGGCGACGAUACGUAGCCGACCUGAGAGGGUGAUCGGCCACACUGGGACUGAGACACGGCCCAGACUCCUACGGGAGGCAGCAGUAGGGAAUCUUCCACAAUGGACGAAAGUCUGAUGGAGCAACGCCGCGUGAGUGAAGAAGGUUUUCGGAUCGUAAAACUCUGUUGUAAGGGAAGAACACGUACGAGAGUAACUGCUCGUACCUUGACGGUACCUUAUUAGAAAGCCACGGCU